GCUCAGCGAUCGAGGGCCAUCGGAUCGGCAAGGCACUCUUCCUGCCGGGAAGAGGCCUCUCCUCCACCCUCCAUGGUGGAACCCAGCUCUCUGCAUCCUGUGGUGACCACGGAGGCACAGAUCACGGCGAUCGUGCGGCAGAUGACCGUGCUGAUGGACGCGGUCAAGAGCCUUCAACAACAACCAACCCGGUUGCCGCACUCGCCGGCGAGGCAACUGGCAGCGCAUCCGAUGCCCUCCAGGAGCAGCCGCCGACGCCCGCAU
rnacentral:lncRNA from 1 species